GACGAACGCUGGCGGCGUGCUUAACACAUGCAAGUCGAACGGAAAGGCCCUGCUUUUGUGGGGUGCUCGAGUGGCGAACGGGUGAGUAACACGUGAGUAACCUGCCCUUGACUUUGGGAUAACUUCAGGAAACUGGGGCUAAUACCGGAUAGGAGCUCCUGCUGCAUGGUGGGGGUUGGAAAGUUUCGGCGGUUGGGGAUGGACUCGCGGCUUAUCAGCUUGUUGGUGGGGUAGUGGCUUACCAAGGCUUUGACGGGUAGCCGGCCUGAGAGGGUGACCGGCCACAUUGGGACUGAGAUACGGCCCAGACUCCUACGGGAGGCAGCAGUGGGGAAUAUUGCACAAUGGGCGGAAGCCUGAUGCAGCAACGCCGCGUGCGGGAUGACGGCCUUCGGGUGGUAAACCGCUUUCGCCUGUGACGAAGCGUGAGUGACGGUAAUGGGUAAAGAAGCACCGGCGAACUACGU
rnacentral:rRNA from 1 species